GUGUUGGGGGUCUGUGUGCUUGGAGUUUGGGUGCUCAGGGUCCUGGGGGGUCUGGGUAUUAGGGAGCUGUGUGCUUGAGGUCCUAUGGGUCUGGGUGUUUGGGGUCUUGGUGCUGGGGCUGCAGGGUGUACAGGGUCCUGGGCAUGUGCAUCCAGGGCCAAUGGGGUCCAGGGUGUGUGGGGUCUAUGGGGAGCUGGGCACAUGGGGUCUGGGCACUGCGGGCUUUGGGAUCACCAGGCUCUUGGUGUGCUGCUCCUGGGCCACCAAGGAAGCGCACUGGGGCUCCGUGCGGGCAGUGAUGCCAGUCACUGCCGGGUACACAGCUGGCGGCUCCGGUAUCGCUGCCCUGGGUCUCCCCAGGCUUCCCCUUGUUUCUGAAAUGGGUGACGCCUUCCGUGCUUCCCAGCAUGAGGCGCGUGUGCACAGGCUUGCAGGGGAAAUAGCCAGGCAUGAGCUGAGAUGUCACGUUUCCUUACAGCCCUCUCUGAGAAGCCGCUUGGGGCGUUGGGGAGGGAGGGAGGCUGCAGCACGCUCCCCUUGACCCCGGAGAGAACGAGGGCGGCGAGGAACAACCGCUGCCUUUGUUGCGUGUGCCCUGAGCCACCAUCCAGCUGGAAAACAACACUGAAAUUAUGCUGGGUCAGGUUUGCGAGGCUAUUGCCCGGUGCUCACACCGAAGGCUGUGUCGCCGAGCAGGCCGGCAGGUGAACCGCUCCUGUCCAGUUCCAGAUGAAAACUCACCGCGGACAACCACGUCCUCCGCUUUCUGCUGACUGGAGCGUUUCUGUCCAGUUGCAUCCUAUUAUUUCAGGCAUGGGAUAAUUUCUGCCGAAGCACAGGAUCAAAAUAAAUGUCUUAAAAGUAGCUAAUUCUACAGCCCUGGCCUUGGGAGGGCGUCCUGCAUCGCCUCACCCACCCAUGCCUUGCCACCACUGCGUGCCGUGCUGUGGCCUGCUCCGAGAGACGGCUCUGACUGACCACAAACACCCAGUCUUUUCCCCAAUUUUGCCGUGACAUUGUCAUCAGUUCGGCUGCCCAGCACAGUGACGCCAGGGCAGCCAGGUUGCCAGCCUUUUCUACACAUUUUCCACACAUGCCUGGGUAAGCCAAGUUGUGUUUGAGCCCAGAGACAGGGGAUUAGCGUAGUCGCAAAGCCAAAUUUGCUGUUGUGUAGGCAAUUAAUGUCUCUGGAGUGGAAGCGGGACUGGUUUGCUCAGGCCAAGCUUUCCUCUGGAGGCAGAGCUACAGCCACGGUGUGCUUUGGGCCCCAGCAGUGGCUUACAAAUAGGCCAGAGCAUGCUGAGUCCUUGAGGUCUCACAGAGAGCAGCCGGAGGGUGGCCCAGAGGCUGGCCCCUGGUUGCAAAAUGUGUUUGUCACAUCCACUCAAAGCAGGAACCUGCCUGCAGCAAACACAGCCUGUUUGUGGGCUGCGCUGUGCUGGAGAAAAAGUGUUGUAUUUGCCCUGAAACUGCUUAUAGUGACAAAACCUGACAAACCAGGAAGGUUUUAAUUUUAUGAUGAUAUGCAUUUUAUGUGUAGACCUGCAGACACGACUUGUUUGUUUGCAGUCCAGCCUGGGUUUAAUCACUUUGAAUUAAGUAACUGAUCUUAUUACUUAUCUGACUAUGAGAGGGCUUAUCACAGGUUCCUUGGCACAUGAUGAGGAUUAGUCUGUCGGCACAACCAUGUGUGAGUAAUGCGACUCUUCGUUGCCUCGUGACGUGUCCUCUUGGAGCUAUUUUUUCUUUACCUUCCUCCAGCACGUUGAUCUUUUGGUUUCUCCAGCCAGUGACCAGCUAAAGCCCACUUAAUGUCACUGAAACCCAUCCACAUAAUGGGAAGAAGGGAAAAGCUCUGCUGUUGCAACAGACGUCAUGUGUUUCUUGAGGUUUUCAUUAAAUUAAGGGCAGGACCAUAUUGGCCAUAUUGGACUUAAUGGGCAUGGUUGUUGGUGUCAUUGAAAGCAAAAUGAAAACAGCGGUAUGAGUGAUAAUGUUGAGCAUAGUUAGUGUUUAGCACUGCUUUUGAGCAUGAGACAAAAAAGGGGCAAUUAAUACAUCCCUCAGUUUCUAAAAGGGCUGAAAGAUGCAGUUUUGACCCCAGUCCUUGCACUGACUUUUUGAGUGGGUUUGAUGCUGAACAUUUACCAGUUUCCUCUAUUGCAAGCAGGCUCGGGACCAAAGUUCAGCAGAGUUUGGACAACGGCCCCCAAACUGCAGCACACUGUAGCUGCAGGUUUGCUUUAAGCCUCCGGCUCUGGAGUCUCUGUAAACAAGUCAGGCGGAAACAACCGGCAUGCCGUUUAGCUAAAAUUAAACAUCUUGAGAGAAAAGUAAUGAGCGAGGAGAGCUGGGGCUUGCAGCGGAAGCGCUGGGCUGGAACGCACACCCCGUACAUCCACGUCCUGCAUAGGCGACCUCCAAGCAAAGGCUUUAAUCUCGCUGUGCCACAGCAUCCCCUCUGCAGACCUGGUGCCACAAUGCUGCUUUCAUCAUCGUAGUGUGGACUGCGACCUCGUUAGGCAGGGAAAUUAUGCAAAGGGCUUGCGUUUGGUCUUUGAGGUCCUGGCCCUGCAUGGGGACCCCUCUGCUCUGCAGUCUUUAGAUGGUGACAGAGCUGGGUCAUCUUGUCACCAGAAGGGACAAGGAGCCUGGUGCUGGAUGGGGAUCCUUCUCCCUUUGGGGAACCCGUGUGUGCCAGGCCAGGAUGCGGCUGGCAGCCCGGGGCACCUCCGGCUGUGCUGACUAACAGCUGCUGCUGACACCUCGUGGAAAGCUCACACAAGCAUUUUCUCCAGAAACCUUCCUGUUUCAUUUCCUCCGCCGCUGCGGGCCCUCCUCCGAGCAGCCUGUCUUCUGUCUAUGUCGUGGCUGUGGCAACCCGUCUGACACAGCUCAGGCACUGCUCCUGGCCCCCAGGUGGCUCACCGAAACCAUCAGCCAUCGCUCUGUCCGGGGGGGACUCGGGCCUUGAAACCCCGCUCGCCCCUGCGCGAUGGCGCUCGGCACCAUCCUCUUCUUCCUCCUCGCUCCCUUCGUAUGCUGCUCGCUCUCUGCUUCCCUGACUUGGAGUGAGUCAUUGCUUUACAGAGAGCCUGAACUGCCCCUAACCCCAGCUGGAUUGCUUUCUCUUCUGUGAGAUUGGGUCAGCUCCUUCCUGAUCCACAGCAUGAAAGAAAAUCUGCUUUGGAAACAAUGCAGUGAGAAAGCCUUCUCUCGUUACUUUCAUUUCCUGGCUGUCACGCAACUAACGUGACUCCCUUCCAAAAAUCUGCAUUCCAAAUGACGCUUGGGAACCCGAAACAAGCUCAGAAACCCUCCGUGUUGGAAAGGACACCUCUCCACCAGCUCUGGGGUGAGCUCUUGGCUGCCACUAGGUCUGUUGAAAUAACAAACAGGGAUGAAGGAAGAGGGCAGCUCUUCCAUGACCUUCCCUCGGUGAAAGGAGGCUGCGUCGCCGCAGUUAACUCCAGCAGCAACUGCAGGCUUAGCAGCUGCUGCUGGCAUCUCUGGGCUCCCUGAGGGUGCUGGUCUGUCGUUCCCAGUGUCUGGUCUGAUCUUGGUUUGUCUUGCUGCUUUUCUGCUGCUCAGCCCAUGCUGUCUUCAGACCCUUCCUUCUUCUCAGUGUGUGGAGGUCUCAAGUCUCUCUGAGGGUGCUUGCACUGGUAGGACAGCAGAGGCCUGAGGAGUGGUUGUGGCAGCAGACUAAAGGCAACUGAUUUUGGGGACAGAGCCUUGUAAAAGGGUAAAUCUGCUCUCCCCCAUUCCAUUCCUGUCUUUAUUUGGCACUUUUCUGAGUUUCGCUUCCGAUUACUCUACCUGGCGGUAGGCGUGGGCUCACAAAUUCCUCUCGCUAACCCAUGCAGAGUUGGACGCCCGGUUUGUAGUCACACACUGACGUGCUUCCUGAACACCCGAUGUGGCACAGGGCUUCGGAGUGAAUUAUUGCCAGGGCUCCUGGAGUAUUACCAAGCAAAACUGCCCCCGAGCAACAGCACUCUUGAAAAUGAUCAGCCAGUGCUUUCCUCGAAGAGCCCCUUGGAAGAAAAUGUUUGUAGUGCUUAGAGAAGAAGAAUUGCUUCAUUAAAAAGAAAAAAAAAGCCAAAAACCAAAAUGAAAUCUCACAAAGAGGGCCAAGUAUUACAAAAAUAGUGGGAAGUGUUUAAACCAAGUCUUUAACAGUUUAUUAGAUGUUCUAGUUAAUAGAUUUAUCUUUGACUCAUUAAAAAAAAUAAAUAAAUAGAGCCCAGCUUAGUUACGUACCCAAAAGUCAUACAUCAUUCCCUUCUGUCCCAACAGGAACCCCCCUAAGUCUCCAUCCCCAGCGGGUACUUGAGGGGCUUUUCCACCACGCAGUGUCCAGGGAACAGGGUCCUCACCGGGGGUGCCCAUAGGGACCGGUGCCCCAGCUGCAGCAGCUCUGGGCUCCCCCAGACACAUUUCUGGCUGGAACCCAGUGCCAGGGCUGGUCAGGAGCACCAAGGCAGGAUGGAUGGGGAGAGACCUCGCCUGGAGAGGCCGCAGGUAGAGCCGUGUGAAAGCCAUUUGCAGUCUGCUCCUAUAAUCAUGCACUGGUUGAUGUCAAAUACCGGGGUCUGCACCAGUAAGCAGAUGCUCUAAUUUGCACUCUACUGCAAAAUAAUCAUUUUAGUUACCCUACCCCAAACGUCAGACUCUUUCUGUCUUUUUAAUAUAUUUAGGGAUCAUUUUCUUAAGCUAUUUGAAACCGGGAAAACCAGCAGCUGGCUUUAAUUAAACGGGGACCAGGCUAUAAAUCCCACCCCCGGCGUUUCCUCCCCACGGAAGCUAACCUCUGAAGUCUGCUGCAACCUGCCUUGCUGCAGGAGCAAGUGCAUCAGCAGCCAAAGGUUACCCCCUGCAGUAAAUCCAAAGCUACUGCAGGUAAAACAUGAGCCGGGUUUCACUUAUCGGUGUAGAUUUCCAUGUUAAAAAAAAAAAAAAAAAAAGGGGGGGGGCGGGGGCAGGGAAAAGCAGCCUGCUCCAAAGUAAAAUCCAGAGUAAAUUCAACCAGCUUCAGCAACCCAGGUGGGGUUGGGAACGGUAGGAAGGAGCCUGCAGUUAGUGGUGCUUUUUCCUAUCCAGAAGAGUUUCCUGGGGCAAAACCUUAGGCUGAGGGUCUUGCUGUAGAGGCUGAUUGCACAGGUCAGCUCCAGCCCCUGUUUUGUCCCUCACCUGCAGCCAGACAUGAAUAAGCUGCCCCAAAAAAGAAAUGCGGUGCUGUCUGGGAUGUGCUGCUGUGACUGAUGUACUGUACUCAACACAUGUUGUGUCACCCUCUGGCUGUGUCAGCACCAGGAUGGGGCUGAAAGCUGACCGGAGGACUGGGCAGGCUCACGGAGGAAUGUGCUGUGGGAUGCUAAGUCUGCACCGUGGUCCAAGGAAGCCUGUGGCUACCACACCGUUGGAGGCAGAGGGAGUAUUUUUGGCAAGCAAUUUUGUGGGCUCUCUGUGCUCAUUUGGCCCCAUCGUCCAGAUACACCCAGGGCUGAUGGAUUAGUCCAGCCCCAUGUCUCUUGUGCUGUCAGGGGCAUCUGUGCCAGCACCUCCUGAAGAGGUUUGGGCUCGCUCUUGCUGCAAACUCUUGCCAAAUUCUGGCACACAUAGCUGAAUCUACUGCACAGAGAGAUGUCCUUUCCAGCUGAGAUGUCCUUUCCAGCUUUACCUGUUCAGAUCCUUUUCCAAAGGAAAGCUGAGCUCCUGAAUAAUGUGAAGGCCUUGAGCAUCACCUACACCAAGGUCUGCCCGUGCUGCAGAGGUGUCUACCCCAGCAGAUGCAUCAACCUACCCCAACCUGCCCCGUCCUGGGGAUGCAGCAGGGCUUGGCCAGCAGCUGGUAGGGGCUCACAAAGAAGUGUGUUUGGGGUGCAUCGUGCACCCCCCCAGCAAGCACAUGCAGACCCCCUGAGCUCUCUGUUGGCUGCUAGCACCGCCUUCAGCAUGACCCAGCCUGUGUUUUCUCAUGUGAAAUUCAAUAAAUUCAGCAUUUUCAGGAACUUGGCAUAAUCAGGGUUUUCAAUCUUCUCCUUCAUUGCCUUCUAAUAUACCCUCCUAACAAUUAACUCUGGGUGUUGGGAGAAUGCCAAAUGCAGGGUAAAAGACUUCGUUUUUCUUUCCCAUAAUUAAAUGUCAUGUUCACUGCUGUCUCUCCCACUCUAUUAAGUGUCCGUGCAUGGUCUAAAAUGCUCCUUGGUGAAUUAGCAUAAGGUCUGUCAGGACCCCACCGACGUUCCCCCCUCCUGCCAUAUCUGCUCAGCUCACAAAGGGCAGCCCAAGCAGGCAGAGGGGGCCCUGGGAAGGAGGAAGCAGCUUUUUAGUGCACUCCUGGAAAAAAACACACAUGCAAAACCUCUCCCUGGACCCCAGGCGUGCUAUGAAAAUACGCAAAGCACCCGAAUCGAAUGCUGCGAGGUGUGUGCUGCUGCUGCACUGUCCAGCCCCACGGAAAAAGUGCCAGUAUGGAUCCCCUUAUUGUUAACCAGCAGCUAUCCCAUAUCCAUUCACUGCUUUGCCUUCAAAACAAGGAGGCAAAAGUUGUUAUGACACUUUCUCCCUGACCUUCCAGCUGGGAAGGAAGUGAUGGAGCAAGGACAGCGGUGACGGGGUGUCUCCUCGCGCUGCGCUCUGUGCCACCACAGCUCUUCUUGUAGGAACCUUGUCUUGUGGGGGGUUGACAGCUU